GAUGAACGCUAGCGAUAGGCUUAACACAUGCAAGUCGAGGGGCAGCAUGGUCUUAGCUUGCUAAUACUGAUGGCGACCGGCGCACGGGUGCGUAACGCGUAUGCAACUUGCCUCACAGAGGGGGAUAACCCGUCGAAAGACGGACUAAUACCGCGUACACUUGGGAUAGGGCAUCCUGACCCAAGGAAAUGAAAUUCGCUGUGAGAUAGGCAUGCGUCCCAUUAGCUAGUUGGUGAGGUAACGGCUCACCAAGGCGACGAUGGGUAGGGGAACUGAGAGGUUGCACCACCAGACUGGUACUGAGACACGGACCAGACUCCUACGGGAGGCAGCAGUGAGGAAGAUUGGUCAAUGGGCGAGAGCCUGAACCAGCCAAGUCGCGUGAAGGAUGACUGUCUUAGGGAUUGUAUACUUCUUUUAUACGGGAAUAACAAGAGUCACGUGUGGCUCCCUGCAUGUACCGUAUGAAUAAGCACCGGCUAACUCCGUG
rnacentral:rRNA from 1 species